rnacentral:lncRNA from 1 species
UUCCAGGUCUUUUAAAACUCCCUCUAAAAUGAUAAAUAAUAAACGUCCCUCCUGUUGGUAUGGGACAUCGUGGUCAGUGGAUCAGUGCCUGACAAUGUCUGAUCGCUGAAUCAGAGUCUUGGUGUUGGAAAUGCCAAACGGUUACCUAAGCAGUUGAUUUUAGCCCAGACAACUGUAGAUCUUUGCUGUAAACUCCGAAUUUAUAAGGUUAAAUUUUUCCUCUAAAUCUGAAGAUGUAAAGGAAGUCUUUAAUGUUAAAUUGCUGCCCCGGAAAUAGAGCUUUGUGGAGCAAGUGCAGCUUUGUGCCAUUGGAAACUUCUGCUUUCCGGAGCACUGCAGUCAGAGGGCCGUCUCUGCCCAGCUCAGUUUCAAAAACACUUCUGUGCAAAACCAUGGUGUAAAAGAAAGGCUACGUUGAGUUUUCAUGUUCUUUAUCGUUUCUCUUACCUUCCCUCUCCAUCACAUAGGGUGAUAUCCAUGAGGAUUUUUGCAGUGUUUGCAGAAAGAGCGGCCAGUUGCUGAUGUGUGACACAUGUUCCCGUGUGUAUCAUCUGGACUGCUUAGAGCCGCCCCUGAAAACAAUUCCCAAGGGCAUGUGGAUCUGUCCCAGAUGUCAGGACCAGAUGCUGAAGAAGGAAGAAGCAAUCCCAUGGCCGGGGACCUUAG